rnacentral:rRNA from 1 species
UCAAGUGAAUAAGUGCAUAUGGUGGAUGCCUUGGCGAUUACAGGCGAUGAAGGACGUGAUAGCCUGCGAAAAGCUUCGGGGAGCUGGCAAAUAAGCUUUGAUCCGGAGAUGUCCGAAUGGGGAAACCCGGCCGCAAGGUCAUUCCCUCCUGAAUACAUAGGGAGGGUAAAGCAAACCUGGUGAACUGAAACAUCUAAGUAGCCAGAGGAAAAUAAAUCAACCGAGAUUCCGUAAGUAGUGGCGAGCGAACAUGGAACAGCCUGUUAGUUUUAGCAUGUGCGAUAGUAGAACGGAAUGGAAAGUCCGGCCAUAGAGGGUGAUAGCCCCUUAUACGAAAUCCCGCGUGUGGAACUAAGCUAACGACAAGUAGGGCGGGGCACGAGAAACCUUGUCUGAACAUGGGGGGACCAUCCUCCAAGGCUAAAUACUCGUAAUCGACCGAUAGUGAACUAGUACCGUGAGGGAAAGGCGAAAAGAACCCCGGGAGGGGAGUGAAAUAGAUCCUGAAACCGUAUGCAUACAAACAGUGGGAGCCCUUACUUCAAGUAUCUUUAGAUGCUUUUGUGGAGUGUUGCGUCAGCAAUGCGUCUUGAGAGAUAUUUAUUGAUUGAAGUCUAUAGCGAUAUAGAGAGACAUCCGCGAGGGUGCUUGAAGUAGGGGUGACUGCGUACCUUUUGUAUAAUGGGUCAGCGACUUACAUUCAGUAGCAAGCUUAACCGAUAGGGGAGGCGUAGCGAAAGCGAGUCCGAAUAGGGCGUACAGUUGCUGGGUGUAGACCCGAAACCAAGUGAUCUAUCCAUGGCCAGGUUGAAGGUGCCGUAACAGGUACUGGAGGACCGAACCCACUAAUGUUGAAAAAUUAGGGGAUGAGCUGUGGAUAGGGGUGAAAGGCUAAUCAAACUUGGAGAUAGCUGGUUCUCUCCGAAAACUAUUUAGGUAGUGCCUCGUAUAUCAUUCUCGGGGGUAGAGCACUGUUAUGGCUAGGGGGUACAUACGUACUUACCAAACCAUUGCAAACUCCGAAUACCGAGAAAUGCAAUUACGGGAGACAGACUGCGGGUGCUAACGUCCGUAGUCGAGAGGGAAACAACCCAGACCGACAGCUAAGGUCCCAAAUGACGUGCUAAGUGGUAAACGAAGUGGGAAGGCAUAGACAGCCAGGAGGUUGGCUUAGAAGCAGCCAUCCUUUAAAGAAAGCGUAAUAGCUCACUGGUCGAGUCGUCCUGCGCGGAAAAUGUAACGGGGCUAAGCACGUAACCGAAGCUUCGGAUGCCAUAUUUAUAUGGCAUGGUAGGAGAGCGUUCUGUAGGCCUGUGAAGGUGUGCUGUCAGGCAUGCUGGAGGUAUCAGAAGUGCGAAUGCUGACAUGAGUAGCGAUAAAGGGGGUGAAAAGCCCGAAAGCCCAAGGUUUCCUGCGCAACGUUCAUCGGCGCAGGGUGAGUCGGCCCCUAAGGUGAGGCAGAGAUGCGUAGCUGAUGGGAAACGGUUUAAUAUUACCGUACCUCGAUACAAUGCGAUGUGGGGACGGAGAAGGUUAGGUCAGCCGGGUGUUGGAUAUCCCGGUUCAAGCGUGUAGUCAGACUUCUUAGGUAAAUCCGGGAGGUUGUUAAUGACGAGGCGUGAUAACGAGUCUACUUGUAGACGAAGUGAUUGAUACCAUGCUUCCAAGAAAAGCCACUAAGCUUCAGUUGUAUCAGACCGUACCGCAAACCAACACAGGUGGGCAGGAUGAGAAUUCUAAGGCGCUUGAGAGAACCCGGGAGAAGGAACUCGGCAAAUUAACACCGUAACUUCGGGAGAAGGUGUGCCCCGGUAGCGUGAAGAGAUUUACUCUCGGAGCGUGAUGGGGUUGCAGUGAAAAGGUGGCUGCGACUGUUUAAUAAAAACAUAGCACUCUGCUAACACGAAAGUGGACGUAUAGGGUGUGACGCCUGCCCGGUGCUGGAAGAUUAAAUGAUGGGGUGCAAGCUCUUGAUUGAAGUCCCAGUAAACGGCGGCCGUAACUAUAACGGUCCUAAGGUAGCGAAAUUCCUUGUCGGGUAAGUUCCGACCCGCACGAAUGGCGUAACGA